rnacentral:rRNA from 1 species
GACGUAGGUGGCGAACGUUAUCCGGAAUCACUGGGCGUAAAGGACGCGUAGGUGGUGUAGUAAGUUAUCGGUGGCAAAUCGAGGCUCAACCUCGUGGAAGUCGGUAAUACUGCUAUGCUAGAGGAUAGGAGAGGUUAACGGAACUCCCUGUGGAGCGGUGAAAUUCGUAGAUAUUCGCAAGAACACCAGUGGCGAAGGCGGCUCACUGGCCCGAUACUGACGCUGAGGCACGAAAGCGUGGGGAGCAAACAGG